AUACGUAGGGUGCGAGCGUUAAUCGGAAUUACUGGGCGUAAAGCGCGCGUAGGCGGCUUUGUAAGUCGGAUGUGAAAUCCCCGGGCUCAACCUGGGAACUGCAUUCGAUACUGGCAAGCUAGAGUAUAGUAGAGGCAAGUGGAAUUCCGGGUGUAGCGGUGAAAUGCGUAGAUAUCCGGAGGAACAUCAGUGGCGAAGGCGACUUGCUGGACUAAUACUGACGCUGAGGAGCGAAAGCGUGGGGAGCAAACGGGAUUAGAAACCCCGGUAGUCC
rnacentral:rRNA from 1 species